rnacentral:rRNA from 1 species
ACGGGAGCAGGCAGAUGGAAUUGGUGGUGUAGGGGUAAAAUCCGUAGAUAUCACCAAGAAUACCCAUUGCGAAGGCGAUCUGCUGGAACUCAACUGACGCUAAGGCGCGAAAGCGUGGGGAGCAAACAGGAUUAGAUACCCUGGUAGUCCACGCCCUAAACGAUGUACACUAGUUGUUGGGGUGCUAGUCAUCUCAGUAAUGCAGCUAACGCAUUAAGUGUACCGCCUGGGGAGUACGGUCGCAAGAUUAAAACUCAAAGGAAUAGACGGGGACCCGCACAAGCGGUGGAGCAUGUGGUUUAAUUCGAAGAUACGCGAAGAACCUUACCUGGGCUUGAUAUCCUAAGAACCUUUUAGAGAUAAGAGGGUGCUAGCUUGCUAGAACUUAGAGACAGGUGCUGCACGGCUGUCGUCAGCUCGUGUCGUGAGAUGUUGGGUUAAGUCCCGCAACGAGCGCAACCCACGUAUUUAGUUGCUAACGGUUCGGCCGAGCACUCUAAAUAGACUGCCUUCGUAAGGAGGAGGAAGGUGUGGACGACGUCAAGUCAUCAUGGCCCUUAUGCCCAGGGCGACACACGUGCUACAAUGGCAUAUACAAUGAGACGCAAUACCGCGAGGUGGAGCAAAUCUAUAAAAUAUGUCCCAGUUCGGAUUGUUCUCUGCAACUCGAGAGCAUGAAGCCGGAAUCGCUAGUAAUCGUAGAUCAGCCAUGCUACGGUGAAUACGUUCCCGGGUCUUGUACUCACCGCCCGUCACACCAUGGGAGUUGAUUUCACUCGAAGCCGGAAUACUAAACUAGUUACCGUCCAAA